UGCCAGGCCACCGUCCCGCGAGACCAGGGCACGGGCAGGCCCCUGGCCUCUAGCACUGGGGCCAAGCUCGCCGAGCCAUCGUACGGAACCAACGAGCACCAGCCGGAACAGAUCCACCUGUCGUACCAGGGCGACCCCACCUCCAUGACGGUGACCUGGAUGACCAAGGAAAACGUGGGCAGCACAGUGCGGUACGGCCAGGGCCAGUUGGACCUCUCAGUCGACGGAAGUGCCGCCAAAUUCUCCACGGGCGACCGGGACGAGUACGUCCACCGUGCGAUCAUCACCAACCUGACACCUGGCGGGACGUACGAAUAUGUGGUCGGCAGCAGUCAGGGCUGGUCCGACCUGAAGACCUUGACGGCCA